GGGCCCGCACAAGCGGUGGAGUAUGUGGUUUAAUUCGAUGCAACGCGAAGAACCUUACCAGGGUUUGACAUCCUGCGAAUCUCUUGGAAACGAGAGAGUGCCUUCGGGAACGCAGUGACAGGUGGUGCAUGGCUGUCGUCAGCUCGUGUCGUGAGAUGUUGGGUUAAGUCCCGCAACGAGCGCAACCCACGUCGUUAGUUGCCAGCAUUUAGUUGGGCACUCUAGAGAGACCGCCGGUGAUAAACCGGAGGAAGGUGUGGAUGACGUCAAGUCAUCAUGCCCCUUACAUCCUGGGCUACACGCAUGCUACAAUGGCAAGUACAACGAGUCGCAAUACCGCGAGGUGGAGCA
rnacentral:rRNA from 1 species